AUUGAACGCUGGCGGCAUGCCUUACACAUGCAAGUCGAACGGCAGCGGACCUUCGGGUGCCGGCGAGUGGCGAACGGGUGAGUAAUAUAUCGGAACGUACCUUUCAGUGGGGGAGUAACGUAGCGAAAGUUAACGCUAAUACCGCAUAUUCUGUGAGCAGGAAAGACAGGGGAGUCGCAAGACCUUGCGCUGAUUGAGCGGCCGAUAUCAGAUUAGCUAGUUGGUGAGGUAAAGGACUCACCAAGGCGACGAUCUGUAGCGGGUCGUGAGAGGAUGAUCCGCCACACUGGAACUGAGACACGGUCCAGACUCCUACGGGAGGCAGCAGUGGGGAAGUUUUGGUACAAUGGGCGGCAAGCCUGAUCCAGCCAUGCCGCGUGAGUGAGGAA
rnacentral:rRNA from 1 species